rnacentral:rRNA from 1 species
AGCGAACGCUGGCGGCAGGCUUAACAAAUGCAAGUCGAACGGGCAUGGCAAUAUGUCAGUGGCAGACGGGUGAGUAACGCGUGGGAACGUACCUUUUGGUUCGGAACAACACAGGGAAACUUGUGCUAAUACCGGAUAAGCCCUUACGGGGAAAGAUUUAUCGCCGAAAGAUCGGCCCGCGUCUGAUUAGCUAGUUGGUAGGGUAAUGGCCUACCAAGGCGACGAUCAGUAGCUGGUCUGAGAGGAUGAUCAGCCACAUUGGGACUGAGACACGGCCCAAACUCCUACGGGAGGCAGCAGUGGGGAAUAUUGGACAAUGGGCGAAAGCCUGAUCCAGCCAUGCCGCGUGAGUGAUGAAGGCCCUAGGGUUGUAAAGCUCUUUUGUGCGGGAAGAUAAUGACGGUACCGCAAGAAUAAGCCCCGGCUAACUUCGUG